GACGAACGCUGGCGGCGUGCCUAAUACAUGCAAGUCGGACGCUGAAGGAGGAGCUUGCUUCUCUGGAUGAGUUGCGAACGGGUGAGUAACGCGUAGGUAACCUGCCUCGUAGCGGGGGAUAACUAUUGGAAACGAUAGCUAAUACCGCAUAAUAGUAGAUGUUGCAUGACAUUUGCUUAAAAGGUGCAAUUGCAUCACUACCAGAUGGACCUGCGUUGUAUUAGCUAGGUGGUGGGGUAACGCCUCACCAAGGCGACGAUACAUAGCCGACCUGCGAGGGUGAUCGGCGAAACUGGGACGGGGAGACGGCCCAGCACCCUGGGGGAGGCAGCAGGAGGGAAUCUUCGGCAAUGGACGGAAGUCUGACCGAGGAACGCCGCGUGAGUGAAGAAGGUUGUCGGAUCGUAAAGCUCUGUUGUAAGAGAAGAACGAGUGUGAGAGUGGAAAGUUCACACUGUGACGGUAUCUUACCAGAAAGAGACGGCUAACUACGUG
rnacentral:rRNA from 1 species